UACGUAGGCAGCAAGCGUUGUUCGGAGUUACUGGGCGUAAAGGGUGUGUAUGCGGUUUUUUAAGUUUGGGGUGAAAUCUCCCGGCUCAACUGGGAGGGUGCGCCGAAUACUGAAAGACUAGAGUGCGGGAGAGGAAAGUGGAAUUCCUGGUGUAGCGGUGAAAUGCGUAGAUAUCAGGAGGAACACCGGUGGUGUAGACGGCUUUCUGGACCGUAACUGACGCUGAGACACGAAAGCGUGGGUAGCAAACAGG
rnacentral:rRNA from 1 species